CCAUUGAUAAAGCUGNAGGAAAGNUGGGAAUGACCGUCAAGUCCUCAUGGCCCUUACGUGUUGGGCUACACACGUGCUACAAUGGUAUCUACAACAGGAAGCAAGACUGCGAGGUCAAGCAAAUCCCUAAAAGAUACCUCAGUUCGGAUUGCACUCUGCAACUCGAGUGCAUGAAGCUGGAAUUACUAGUAAUCGUGGAUCAGCGUGCCACGGUGAAUGCGUUCCCGGGUCUUGUACACACCGCCCGUCACACCAUGGGAGUUGGUUCUACCUUAAGGCAAGGUUUUAAACCCUUGACCACGGUAUAGUCAGCGACUGGGGUGAAGUCGUAACAAGGUAGCCGUAGGGGAACUGCGGCUGGAUCACCUCCUA
rnacentral:rRNA from 1 species